rnacentral:lncRNA from 1 species
ACCUGGUGCAGACUCUCAGGUCAGAUGGUGAGGGCUGAUUGCGGGAGGUGGACAAGAAGUCUGGCCUAAUGACUAAGGACAGCUAACGCCUAACUCCGUUCCUCAUCACUCCACCUGGGUGACCGAUGCCGCUACCUCUUUGUCAUUCAGUAGCCCUCUUUACCUGUUUUGGCCUCGCUGCUAGGGCUGUCGCCGAGCUUACACGGACUCCAGAAGCAGCGGAACUGGCAACACCUUGGUGCCCUAGACGGAAACCUCAGUCCCGACUGAAGCGUAUUCAUCACCAACACUGGGAUAGCUGCAGCUAGGGCCACACAAUAAAAAUAGCCCAGGACGGCACUGGCUAUCCGCUGCCCCUUCAGCUAUAGAAUUCCUGUCCUUAAUCGCUUUUAGUUCUGUAACUGCUUGUGGAAACAGCUGAUUACUGGACAGGUGGGAGUACGAAAGGCGUUUAGUAAGACUGCAAAUCUGAUGUGAACUGGUAGGACGCAGAGUGUAUGGCAUAGUCAAGAAAGAAGUCAACGCCAGGCGAGGUGCUAUGGCUAAGGGAUUAAUCUUUUGUGUCCCAACUAUGUUGCUCUGACGGUUCCACUUGCACUACUGGUUUUUACUUCAUCGUUAAUCUCUGCUCUGGCCGAUAACAGCCUGCAUGAAAACAUCACCAGUUUUCAAGUUUUUCUCAGGAUGAACAGUACAUAGAAAAGUGAGCCUGAAUGCUGAGAUCCUGAGACCGUGCUGCGGCGCCUGGGAAUUCAUAGAGCAGCUUUUAAGGGGCCACCACUUCUCGCAUCGUGUGCCAUGCAAGUAAACCUACCCUAUCCUGAGACCCUUGCCUGGGGUGACUGGAAGAGCUGCUUCUGUAGAAUCCUGGGCCAGACCAUCUAUCUGGACGAAUAGGAGAAAAGCCUAGUUGUUGUCUCCUGCAAGAUGUAUUCAGUUGUAAUUUCGCCUUUGUUCCUUAAUCUGUUAGUAUGGUAUAUUACAUCGAUUAAUAUUUCAUAUUAAAUCAGUCAUGAAUUCCCA